rnacentral:snRNA from 1 species
GGAAAUAAUAUAUGGAUUUGACGGUGACACCUGUCAUCCCAUUGAUCGCCAGGUUUGAUUCGGCUGAUCUGGCUGCCUAGGCAGGUAUCCGCUUCCUCCCUCAUUGCUCCAUGAGCAUCCCUCCAGAAGCUGGGCGCUCGGUCCAAGAGGACAACCUUCCCCGAAUAGAGGAGGACCGGUCUUAGGUUAAGGGUAUAGGAGUAGAUGCGCUCCCCUGCUAGAACCUCCACACAAGCUCUCAAGAAAAUAAUAUAAACUCUUUAACUAACAUAUAAUGUGUACUUCUUU